rnacentral:rRNA from 1 species
AUGAACGCUAGCGGCAGGCCUAAUACAUGCAAGCCGAGCGGUAGAGGGUAGCUUGCUACCCUUGAGAGCGGCGUACGGGUGCGGAACACGUGUGCAACCUGCCUUUAUCAGGGAGAUAGCCUUUCGAAAGGAAGAUUAAUAUCCCAUAAUAUAAUGACUGGCAUCAGUUAUUAUUGAAAGCUCCGGCGGAUAGAGAUGGGCACGCGCAAGAUUAGUUAGUUGGUGAGGUAACGGCUCACCAAGGCGAUGAUCUUUAGGGGGCCUGAGAGGGUGAUCCCCCACACUGGUACUGAGACACGGCCCAGACUCCUACGGGAGGCAGCAGUGGGGAAUAUUGCACAAUGGGCGCAAGCCUGAUGCAGCAACGCCGCGUGAGGGAUGACGGCCUUCGGGUUGCAAACCUCUUUUAGUAGGGAAGAAGCGAAAGUGACGGUACCUGCAGAAAAAGCACCGGCUAACUACGUGCCAGCAGCCGCGGUAAUACGUAGGGUGCAAGCGUUGUCCGGAAUUAUUGGGCGUAAAGAGCUCGUAGGCGGUUUGUCGCGUCUGCCGUGAAAUCCCGAGGCUCAACCUCGGGCUCGCGGUGGGUACGGGCAGGCUAGAGUGCGGUAGGGGAGAUUGGAAUUCCUGGUGUAGCGGUGGAAUGCGCAGAUAUCAGGAGGAACGCCGAUGGCGAAGGCAGAUCUCUGGGCCGUUACUGACGCUGAGGAGCGAAAGCAUGGGGAGCGAACAGGAUUAGAUACCCUGGUAGUCCAUGCCGUAAACGUUGGGAACUAGAUGUAGGGCCUGUUCCACGGGUUCUGUGUCGUAGCUAACGCAUUAAGUUCCCCGCCUGGGGAGUACGGCCGCAAGGCUAAAACUCAAAGGAAUUGACGGGGGCCCGCACAAGCGGCGGAGCAUGCGGAUUAAUUCGAUGCAACGCGAAGAACCUUACCAAGGCUUGACAUAUACGAGAACGGGCUAGAAAUGGUCAACUCUUUGGACACUCGUAUACAGGUGGUGCAUGGUUGUCGUCAGCUCGUGUCGUGAGAUGUUCGGUUAAGUCCGGCAACGAGCGCAACCCUUGUCCUAUGUUGCCAGCACGUUAUGGUGGGAACUCAUGGGAUACUGCCGUGGUCAACACGGAGGAAGGUGGGGAUGACGUCAUAUCAUCAUGCCCCUUAUGUCUUGGGCUUCACGCAUGCUACAAUGGCCGGUACAAAGGGCUGCGAUACCGUAAGGUGGAGCGAAUCCCAAAAAGCCGGUCUCAAUUCGGAUUGGGGUCUGCAACUCGACCCCAUGAAGUCGGAGUCGCUAGUAAUCGCAGAUCAGCAACGCUGCGGUGAAUACGUUCCCGGGCCUUGCACACACCGC